UUCCGGUUGAUCCUGCCGGACCUGACUGCUAUCGGAUUGAUACUAAGCCAUGCGAGUCUUUGUAGUAAUACAAGGCAUACGGCUCAGUAACGCGUAGUCAACCUACCCUAUGGACAAGAAUAAUCUCGGGAAACUGAGCAUAAUUCUUGAUAGAUCAUAAUGCCUGGAAUGGUUUAUGGUUAAAAUGAUUCGUCGCCAUAGGAUGGGACUGCGGCCUAUCAGCUUGUUGGUGAGGUAAUGGCCCACCAAGGCGAUAACAGGUACGGGCUCUGAGAGGAGAAGCCCGGAGAUGGGUACUGAGAUAAGGACCCAGGCCCUAUGGGGCGCAGCAGGCGAGAAAACUUUGCAAUGUGCGAAAGCACGACAAGGUUAGUCCGAGUGAUUUCUGCUAAAGAGAUCUUUUGCUAGUUAUAAAACCACUAGUGAAUAAGGGGUGGGCAAGUUCUGGUGUCAGCCGCCGCGGUAAAACCAGCACCUCAAGUGGUCAGGAUGAUUAUUGGGCCUAAAGCAUCCGUAGCCGGCUCUGUAAGUUUUCGGUUAAAUCUAUGCGCUCAACGUAUGGGCUGCCGAAAAUACUGCAGAGAUAGGGAGUGGGAGAGGUAGACGGUACUCGGUAGGAAGGGGUAAAAUCCUUUGAUCUAUCGAUGACCACCCGUGGCGAAGGCGGUCUACCAGAACACGUUCGACGGUGAGGGAUGAAAGCUGGGGGAGCAAACCGGAUUAGAUACCCGGGUAGUCCCAGCCGUAAACGAUGCAGACUCGAUGAUGCAUUGGCAUAUAGCCAGUGCAGUGUCGCAGGGAAGCCGUUAAGUCUGCCGCCUGGGAAGUACGUACGCAAGUAUGAAACUUAAAGGAAUUGGCGGGGGAGCACCACAAGGGGUGAAGCCUGCGGUUCAAUUGGAAUCAACGCCGGA
rnacentral:rRNA from 1 species